AAUGAACGUUGGCGGCGUGGAUUAGGCAUGCAAGUCGAGCGCUCAUAGCAAUAUGGGAGCGGCGAACGGCGUAGUAAUACGUAGGAACGUACCCUCGGGUCGAGGAUAGCUAUGGGAAACUGUAGGUAAUACUCGAUAACCUCUGCGGAGCAAAGGUGUGAUUCCGCCCGAGGAGCGGCUUACGCGAUAUUAGCUAGUUGGUAGGGUAAUGGCCUACCAAGGCGAUGAUGUCUAGGGGGUGUGAGAGCAUGGCCCCCACGACCGGAACUGAGAUACUGUCCGGACACCUACGGGUGGCUGCAGUCGAGAAUCUUCCGCAAUGGACGAAAGUCUGACGGAGCGACACCGCGUGCGGGAUGAAGGCCCUUGGGUUGUAAACCGCUGUCAGAGGGGAUGAAAUCUUCGGAGGUGCUCCUCCAAAGUUGACAGAGCCUCAAAGGAAGCACGGGCUAAGUACGUG
rnacentral:rRNA from 1 species